ensembl:snRNA U6 U6 spliceosomal RNA
GUGUUUGAUUCGGCAGUAUGUAUACUAAUGUUGGAAUGAUACAGAGAAGAUUAGCAUGGCCCCUGCACAAGAAUAACAAAAGAGAUUUAUUCUCUCAGAUU